GUGGGGGAGGUUGUAGCUGGCCCCCUUCCGGGGUGAUGUGCACGCCUCGUCCCUUUGUCUUCCGUCCCUCUCACCCCUGUGCACCUCUGCGUGGGUUCCGGGCGUUCGUUCGCUCGAGAGCUCACGUCUUUCUCUCUACAAAAACCCCCCUACGCAUGUGUCGGAACGUAUGGCUCGCCGUAGAGGCGAAGCAAAGCUUAUAUAGUACAACUUUCAACAACGGAUCUCUUGGCUCUCGCAUCGAUGAAGAACGCAGCGAAAUGCGAUAAGUAAUGUGAAUUGCAGAAUUCAGUGAAUCAUCAAAUCUUUGAACGCACCUUGCGCCUCUUGGUAUUCCGAGGGGCACACCUGUUUGAGUAUCAUGAAAUUCUCAACCCGACUCCUUUUGUGAAAGGGGAGAAGGGCUUGGACUUGGAGGUCUUUGCCGUGGUCCCCUCUGUGGAUCUUGGCUCCUCUUGAAUGCAUUAGUGGAGCACGUCCACUCUCUCUACCAACUCGGUGUGAUAAUUCA
rnacentral:rRNA from 1 species